GACGAACGCUGGCGGCGUGCUUAACACAUGCAAGUCGAACGCUGAAGCUCAGCUUUUGUUGGGUGGAUGAGUGGCGAACGGGUGAGUAACACGUGAGUAACCUGCCCUCUUCUUUGGGAUAACGCCCGGAAACGGGUGCUAAUACUGGAUAUUCACUGAUCUUCGCAUGGGGGUUGGUGGAAAGGUUUGUUCUGGUGGGGGAUGGGCUCGCGGCCUAUCAGCUUGUUGGUGGGGUGAUGGCCUACCAAGGCUUUGACGGGUAGCCGGCCUGAGGGGGUGACCGGUCACAUUGGGACUGAGAUACGGCCCAGACUCCUACGGGAGGCAGCAGUGGGGAAUAUUGCACAAUGGGCGAAAGCCUGAUGCAGCGACGCCGCGUGAGGGAUGGAGGCCUUCGGGUUGUAAACCUCUUUCGCUCAUGGUCAAGCCGCGACGUGGGUUGUGGUGAGGGUAGUGGGUAAAGAAGCGCCGGCUAACUACGUG
rnacentral:rRNA from 1 species